UACGGGGGAUGCGAGCGUUGUCCGGAUUCACUGGGCGUAAAGGGCGCGUAGGUGGCGCGACAAGUCAGUGGUGAAAGCUCGACGCUUAACGUCGAGUCGGCCACUGAUACUGUUGGGCUUGAGCACUGUAGAGGCAGAUGGAAUUCCGGGUGUAGCGGUGGAAUGCGUAGAGAUCCGGAAGAACACCGGUGGCGAAGGCGGUCUGCUGGGCAGUAGCUGACACUGAGGCGCGACAGCGUGGGGAGCAAACAGG
rnacentral:rRNA from 1 species